AAUCCGUAUUGUGGGCACCUCCACAAAAAGUCCUUGAAAUGAUCCCAUGUCUCAAACAAUGAUUCAAAUUCUAUUUGCACGAACGAUGAUAUCUCAUUGCGAAGUUU